rnacentral:lncRNA from 1 species
GUGUUUGGUUUUCUGUUCUUGUGUUAGUUUGCUGAGAAUGAUGGUUUCCAGCUUCAUCCAUGUCCCUGCAAAGGACAUGAACUCAUCCUUUUUAUGGCUGCAUAGUAUUCCAUGGUGUAUAUGUGCCACAUUUUCUUAAUCCAGUCUAUCAUUGAUGGACAUUUGGGUUGGUUCCAUAUUAUUUCUUUCUUUCUACUAAUUUUG